rnacentral:lncRNA from 1 species
GUGGUGCUUUUUGAGGGUUUGGUGGAGGAGGGGCGCUGGGGGUUGGCCGAUGGUCGUGGUGGCAGUGUGGGCCGGUGAUGGUGGUGGUGAUGAAUAAGGGCGGAGAUUGACCACCAUCGUCGCCAAUCUCUCUCUCUCUCUCCCAAGCUUCUCUAUUAGAGCAUUCACAUUCACUCCAUCAAAACUAUCACUAUCUCUAAAGUAUAAAAAAUGUUCUAAAAACUUACUCCAACCAGUCCAUUAUAUGUAUACCCUAACCUUAAAUAUUAAAAAAGAGGUACAGUAACUUUUUAUACAUAAAAAGCUCCUGUAGCUCCCCCAUUUCCAACAACCACACCUUCUCCCGCCCCUCUUUCUUCUGCACAUCGACUACCAUCAACAAAUUAAGCAAAACUACAAGUUCUCACUUCCCAGGUUCUGAUUUGUAAAUUGUGGAGGGUUCCGAGUUCGAUUUGUAAACAUAGGCAAUGAUGCGGCUUCUAUUGGAAACUAGGGUUCCGAUUUGAAAAUGAUUUUUCUUAAUCAGUGGAAAUAUCAAUUGAUUCAUCCUUCACAUCUCCAUCCAUCUGCGUUCUGUUUUGGAUUUCGAAGGGCUGCGUUCUGUAAGCUUAUUUUAUUCAAACAGUGAAUCAAAAACAACCUUCACUACUGGGUACUGACUGAAGGUUGCACCAAUCAAACAGGCCCACUUUGGAUUAUUAAAGCUUUGUUGAGAUACCUAUCUUCGGAAGAUGAUAGCGAUGAUGAUCUUGAUGAGGAUGUCGAAGAACAAUGUACUCGCAAACGUCGUAAAUUUAUUCGACGCAAUCAUAUUCAGGGACAUGAGCGUUUAUAUCGUGAUUAUUUUGCAGAAAAUCCAGUAUAUCCCUCGAAUCUGUUUCGACGGAGAUUUCGGAUGAGUCGUCCUCUAUUUCUCCGUAUUCUAAAUGAGGUUGUGGCUAACGAGCCAUACUUCGUCCAAAGAAGAGAUAAUAUCGGAAGACUCGGUUUAUCUUCUAUGCAAAAGAUAAUAUCGGAAGACUCGGUUAUAUUAGAUUGUUUUGUGAAUGUUAUGAGUUGGGUUUAGAAAUAUGUUAUGCGAUGUUCAUUAGAAUUAUAUAUGUAUGACUAGAACUUAUUAGCUCAACUUUUGUUAAAUGUGAAGGUUUAUGUUUAUCGAUUGUUCUGUAUUUUGAGUAGGAUCUAUCUUUCUCAUGGUAUGGUAAUAUUAACCUUGU